UACGUAGGGUGCAAGCGUUGUCCGGAAUUAUUGGGCGUAAAGAGCUCGUAGGCGGUCUGUCGCGUCUGCUGUGAAAACUCAGGGCUUAACCCUGAGCUUGCAGUGGGUACGGGCAGACUAGAGUGCGGUAGGGGAGACUGGAAUUCCUGGUGUAGCGGUGAAAUGCGCAGAUAGUCAGGAGGAACACCGGUGGCGAAGGCGGGUCUCUGGGCC
rnacentral:rRNA from 1 species